UUCUUCCUGUUCUCUUUUGCUGUGCUGUAUUUACCUCAGAUUACAGAACACGGAAGCAACAGUUCCUUCAAACCAUUUGCCUGUACUAAAAAGACUUCUGGCAGGUACCGUGGGCCAAGCAGGGGCCCCAGGCGUGGAGUCCCAGGAUCUAAGAGGCCAUUUCAUCGAGGAGAGAUGAGCAAAGGAAAAGCCAAGGGGCAGGAGAACAUGCACAGUUCUCUUCUCAGCAGCCAGGAGAAUGAACGCCUGGUAGAGCUGCUGGGAAGGAGAUGCAUGACCAUGGCCACGACAGUUGUUCAGUUGUACAUGGCUCUUCCUAACAGUCCGACCCAAUGGAGUCUCCAACAUACAGGAGUUGUGUGUUUCAUUAAGGACAAUCCUAAACGUUCAUAUUACAUCCGACUCUAUGACAUAAAGGAAGGGAAAAUGGUUUGGGAGCAGGAGCUGUAUAAUCAGAUGACAUAUUCCUGUCCAAUGAGGUUCUUUCACAGUUUUGCAGCUGAUGACUGUCAAGUAGGUUUGAACUUUGCCAGUGAGACAGAAGCUGAUUUUUUCAGAAACGUCAUUGUGGAGAAGAUUAACCAGAGAUCCAACCGCCAGGAAAAAAGACAGCAUGCUCCGUCUCAAGAAAACCUGCCACUACAACAAACCUCUCCAAAAAAUGGUCCAGUUUCACAGCCAAGUGUAAUGCCCACAGUGGACAUCCAGAACCCUGAUAUUGUGGCAUCAAGGUACCGCUCCACCCCAGUGCCAGUCCCCGCACCAGCCUCACUUUCCAUUGGCAAAAAGGACAAAAAGGGAAAGAAGAAAGGCCCUAAACUCACUAAGGCAGAUAUAGGAGCACCUAGUGGAUUUAAACAUAUCACUCAUGUUGGGUGGGAUCCAAACUCUGGUUUUGAUACCAACAAUCUUGACCCUGACCUGAAGAAACUGUUCAACAGUGCUGGUAUCAGUGAUGCCCAGCUGGCAGACAAAGAAACAUCUAAGAUCAUCUAUGACUUCAUCGAGCAAUCUGGAGGCCUGGACGCAGUAAAAGAGGAAAUGAGGAAACAGGAUCCUCGUUCUGCUCCUGCACCUCCUCCACCUCGUGGCGGGCUUCCCCCAGUCCCAGGUCCACCUGGACGUCCUGCACCACCUUCACGCAGCCCUGGACCCCCGCAUCGUGGUCCACCACCACCAGCACCACCUGGAGGCCGUCCUGGGCCUCCACCCCCUAUGCCUUCUUCACUUCCGCCACCACCACCCCCCAGCCAAGGUCACAGGCCACUUCCUCCUCCUAUGGGUGGAGGUGCACCGCCUCCACCUCCGCCCCCACCUCCUCCUCCACCACCACCUUCUUCAACAGGCAACGUCCCUAGUAGCCCUGCCACCUCAGCACCACCUCCUUCUCCUUCCUCUGGUGGUGGAGGACGAGGAACCUUACUGGAGGAAAUUCGGCGUGGACGUGUGCUAAAGAAUGUGUCUGACUCCCCGGACCCAAAUCCUCCAGGUCAAGAUGAAUCCUCAGGGGGAAUUGUGGGAGCUCUGAUGAUGGUGAUGCAGAAAAGGAGUAAAGUCAUCCAUUCCUCAGGAGAUGAAGACGAUGAUGGGGGUGAUGAAGAUGAAGAAGAUGAAUGGGAUGAGUAAUGCUUCUCUCUGCUCUUGGUUCACACAUUUAUGCCAUCCAAUUCAGCAAAAUGAGCUUUCACUUCACAGUAGCUCAGCGCGAGUUCAUUCAGGAAGACGGAACUGUAGUUGAGCCAAACCAAACCAAACAUAGGACUGCCAAGCCUAACCACAGGUUUAUGUUGGAUAUUUCCUUCUGUGUGCACAUGCUUUUGACUCAUCAAUGGUCUAAUUCCAAAUCUGACUUCUUUACAAACCCAGUAAUGUUUUUUUUUCUUGUCAAGUUCUAUGUAGUUUUCUGAAGCUGGACAAUGUUCUGUGCAUCUGUUGACUGCACACAACAUUCCCCUGCAGGACAAAUGUGGAACUGUCAAAAAGGUUUAAAAAGAGUAUUAAAAUAAUCUAUUAAAAUGUACUGAUGAUGACACUUCUGAUAUAGAUAGAUAUGUCAAGUUUUCAGAUAGCUAAAACAAUAAAUACAUAAGUAGAUAAAAACAAAAACAGCAGUUUAUUGUUAUUGCUUAAAAAAAAAACACCUAUUAGAACUCCCAAACCCCAGAAUACCAUGAUAAUAAAAUAAUAUUUAUCACAAACAAUCACAUUAACAUGAACCUACACAAACAUCUGUAAAUACAAAGAGGAAAUAUUUAAGAAGCAACCAUAUUUAGGAAGUUUCUGUUUAGUUCAACAACCAACACCAAAGGAAAGAGACAACAGGACAAAGAAAGUCUAUGUGGCAUUAAAAGUUCUUCAGAGAAGCUGUGUUGGAUGUCAUUCUGCAUAAUAACAUCUCUGUGGAGAGGAAUGAAAUGUGGUUUGGACUCUAGAAUCUGUUCUCCACCCUUCACGACCAGAUGACAUGUCUUGGGUUAACACCACAAAGCAUUUCAAAGCGAGUCUUUAUACAUUUUCCACCAACAUCUAAUGAAGAGAAACACUCAUCCUUUAAAAAAAACAAAA